AGCCAACCCACAAUCUUUAAUGCCACUUGAAACCCAUUCCAAUAUUGAUUCCCAUCCUCCAUUGACACAUGAAGGUCUUCAUCCUUCAUCUGCUCUGCACAGAAACCACAAAAUCCCCUUACCAUCACAGACCUGUUCUUCCCCAAACAACUUUAAUUUGGAAGAGAGUGAUUCACAGAGACUCAAUUUUAUUGAGCUUGAUAUCAGAGUUUUCCUUUUGGAAUUACAAGAGAAUAAGACUAUUCACAGAGAAGAAAUCAAAUACAUCAGAUCAAUGCCCAUGACAACUUUGGUGACAGUAAGGACUGGAGGUGAUGGCACCAGACGUUGCUGCUGACGGUGCCACGACGUACAACGACAGGAACAGUGGCAAGUCUCGUUGGAAGCAGCUGUGGCGAGCCCUGAUCGGCGGUGGCUGCCGUUACAGGUCAGUGGCGAUACGUUGACCUAUCGGACGGAGGGGCAGCCAUGGGAGGAGCACCUGUUGCAGUGGCAGAUUCUGAGGAGAGAGAUGUGCACGUUCAAGAAGAAAAUUGCCCUAGAAUUUGAUAUGGAAAGAGAACGGUUGUUUCACCCUGCACUCAUCCUGCAUCCUCAACUUUCAGAUUUCUCAUCGUAGUUAAUGAGGUCAUUUGUUUGAAGAUCAGCAGGUGCCACAGUGAUUACAACAUCAAAGUCUUUUAGUCUAGCCGAACAAUUCAUGCAAAAGAUUAAGGUACAGAAAAAACUCUCUGAGCUGAAAAAGCGGUUUUAAGUUCUUUAUAGGAUCGUUCUAUCAUUUAACCGGCCUGAGUUUCUUAUAGGAUCAAGAUUGCUACAUUUGGAAGAAAUCAAUAAAGAUUCUUACAAUAACUGAAGUGUUGUCAUAAAGCUGAUCAUUUCUGCACAAUUGAGAUGUAUUGUUCCAUUCAGUGUUGUUAUACAAUCAAGGUUUAUUGUUUGUUUCCCUAUUGCUGUGGCCAGGAAAAUGACUUGGUGAAGUUUUAGGACUUAGAGUGGGAUAACUCUAAGGGUGAAGGAAAGUGGGUGAUCUUUAUGGCUUUAUGCUAUAAUUGAUAUUGAGUUGAAAGGAGAGUGCACUUGAGAGGAUUGUUAUCUGUAUGUCUUGCUUGUAAGAACUCUAUCAAUAUAGUGGAUCCCUUCAUCUAAGGUUGAUUGAAGGAAGACUGGACAUAGGUAGUUGGCCGAACCAAUAUAAACAACAGUGUUAGUCUCUCUAUCCCUUAUCUUUUACAUUGUUUUCAUUAUUGAUUGAUUGCAUUCCAAGAAAGCUUUAAAGAUUUCAAAAAGCUUUUUAAAGAACAAGUGUUUACAUAGGGAACCCAAUUCACCCCCCUCUUAUUGAGUAUAUUGGCCUAACUUUUUCUACAAUUGGCACCACUGUUGGGGAUUCGAAUUUUACUCGAAUUUUAAUCGGUUAGGUUUUCAGUAUAAUUGAUUAAAUUGACCCGGAUGGCCAAUAUGUCUCUGAUCGUGAGUAAAAAAGAAAUUGAUGAUGAUUUCUUGAAUGCAACAUGCAAAGAUAGAUGGAGUUCUGUGAUUAACAAUUCCUAUGAGUGUAUUAAGACAUGAACAUCAAGGAAAUCAUCUCACGAGGAGGAAAGAGUCACAAACAUCCUGAAACCUGCCAAGAAACCAGAGGAUGAAGAAACUGACUUAAUGGCAGAAAGGUUCACAAAAUUCUUGAUGACUAAAAGGAAAUCUGACAACAAUCCCGAGGAAGAUCAGAAGUUGUCUAAUGAUCAAGAUUUGCAAAAAACAUAUUUGAGCAAAUUGGUGAAAUCUACUCUAGCUGAAAGAUGUGAAGAAAAGGAGGAAAAGGAAGCCAUGUGGUAUCUGGAUAGUAGAUGCUCUAGACAUAUGACAGGAGAUCCAACAAGAUUCAUAAUCCUAUCCUACAAGACAAGCGGUCAUGUCACAUAUAGAGAGAAUAACAAGGGUAAAAUAAUGGGUACUGGUAAAAUGCAAACACCCUCCUUAUAUGUUAUUGAAAAUGUCUUGCUUGUUUAUGACUUCAAUCAUAAUCUUCUUAGCAUUAGCGAACUGUGUAACAAAGGUUUAAAAGUUACAUUCAAGCCUAAUCAUUGUUUAAUCUGUCAUGGUACUUUGAAUGAACUUGUUGUGAUUGGCAAAAGAUGCAAUAACAUUUACAUGGUUGACUUUAGAAAAACAUCUUUCAAAUGUGAUAUGUUUGUUAUCUAAAGAUGAUGAUCCUUGGCUUUGGCAUAAAAGACUUGCUCAUAUUCAUAUGCCUCAUCUAAACAAACUUGCAUCUAGAAAUCUUAUAAUUGGGUUACCAAGCAUAAAGUAUGAUUCUAACAGACUUUGUUAUGCUUGCCAAAAAGGGAAGCAAACCAUAUCAUCUUUCAAACCAAAGAGAGUGAUGUCUACUAAUAGACCUCUUGAUUUACUACAAAUGGAUCUGUUUAGCCCCUAAAAAAUCAAAAGUCUGGGAGGAAACCUUUAUGCUCUGGUUAUUGUUGAUGAUUAUUCUAGAUAUACAUGGACUUUCUUCCUUACUGCCAAGAGUGAAACUUUUAGGAUCUUUAAGAAAUUUGCAUCUGUUAUUCAAAAUGAAAAAAGAUCUUAAGAUAAAAUGCAUUAGAAGUGAUUCUGGAUAGAGAGUUUCAAAAUGAGAAUUUUGAGAAAUAUUGUGAUGACCAUGACAUUUCUCAUAACUUCUCUGCACCUAAAACACCACAAAAAAAUGAUGUUGUUGAGAGAAAGAAUAGGGUCUUAGAGAAGCUUGCUCGAAGCAUGCUCGAUGAGAGGUCUUUGCCCAAACACUUCUGGGCAGAUGUUAUUAGUACAACAUGUUAUGUGUUAAAUAGAACCAUCAUUAGACCUUUGCUUAAGAUUACUUCCUAUGAGUUAUUUAGAGGUAGAAAGCCUAAUAUCACUCAUCUUAGAGUAUUUGGUUGCAAAUGUUUUAUUUAAACAAUGGCAAAAACAAUCUUGGUAAAUUUGAUUCCAAAGCUGAUGAGGGAAUUUUUAUUGGUUACUCUUUGACUAGCAAAACAUAUAGAGUAUAUAAUAAAAUAAGUUUGUUUGUUCAAGAAUCAAUACAUGUUGCAUUUGAUGAGAAUGUUGAUUAUGUUAAUAACAAAAUUCUUCCAAGAGAUUAUAUAGAUGUAGGAGAAUCUGCAGGAGAAGAACAAAAGAUUCAAGAACCUCACACUCCUACAUCCACAAAGAUUGCACCCAACAUUCAUUCAAUAAGAGAAUGGAAGGCUCCUAGAAACGUGUCAACCAGUAACAUCAUUGGAGAUAUUUCAAAAGGUAUAUAAAAAAGAAGGCAACUAAAUCAGUUAUGCAUCAAUGUUGCUUUUGUCUCACGAAUUGAGCCCAAGAAUGUAAAUGAUGCCUUGAAUGACGAAAAUUGGUUUCUAGCUAUGCAAGAAGAGUUGAAUAAGAUGGAUGAUUCUGGCGUCAUAAUAAAAAAUAAAGCAAGGUUGGUUGCAAAAGGUUACAAUCAAGAAGAAGGAACUGAAUUUGAUGAGACGUAUGCUCUACUGGAAAGAUUGGAAGCUAUAAGGAUACUUCCUUCUAUAGCCUCUUUGUUGAACUUCAAACUAUACCAAAUGGAUGUAAAAAAUGCCUUCUUAAACGGCUACAUCAAAGAGGAAGUAUUUGUGGAACAACCCCCUGGCUUCCAAGACUUUGAAUUUCUUGAUUAUGUUUUCAAGCUAAAGAAAACAUUGUAUGGACUCAAAUAAGCUCCAAGAUCAUGAUAUGAAAGGUUAAGUGAGUUUCUUUUGAAAAAGAAUUUCCAAAGGAGUAAAGUUGACUCAAUAUUAUUCAGUAAAAAAUCUGGACAUGACUUAUUAGUUAUACAAAUAUAUAUUGAUGACAUUGUAUUUGGUUCUACUAACCCCACUUUAUGUAAGGAAUUCCCUAAAAAUAUGCAGGAGGAGUUUGAAAUGUCCAUGAUGGAGGAGCUUAAGUACUUUCUUGGAUUACAAGUGAAGCAAGAAGAUGCUGAAAUUUUCAUACAUCAAUCAAAGUACUGUGUUGAUCUAUUGAAAAAGUUCAAGAUGAACGAGUGCAAAGAAAUGGCUACUCCUAUGGCAACCAAUUGUUACCUGGACAAGGAUGAAAAAGGAGCGUCUUGAGUUUCUUGGAGGAUCAAGAUUGCUACAUUUGGAAGAAAUCAAUAAAGAUUCUUCAAGAACUAAAGUGUUGUCAUAGAGAGGACUUGGUGAAGAUCUAGGACUUAGAGUGGGAUAACUCUAAGGGUGAUAAAAAGUGGGUGAUCUUUCUAGAGUCAUGCUAUAAUUGAUAUUGAGUUGGAAGGUGAGUACACUUGAGAGGAUUAUUCUCUGUAUGUCUUGCUCGUAAGAACUCUAUCAAUAUAGUGGAUCCCUUCAUCUAAGGUUGAUUGAAGGAAGACUAGACGUAAGUAGUUGACCGAACCAGUAUAAACAACAGUGUUAAUCUCUAUAUCCCUUAUCUUUUACAUUGUUUUCAUUCUUGAUUGAUUGCAUUCCAAGAAAACUUUAAAGAUUUCAAAAAGCUUUUUAAAAAACAAGUUUUUACAUAGGGAAACCAAUUCACCCCCAUCUUGGUUAAGUAUAUUGGCCUAACUUUUUCUACAUUUGGGUUUUCAGUAUAAUCGAUUAAAUUGAUCUUGAUGGCCAAUAUGUCUCUAAUCAUGAGUAAAAAUGAACUUGAUGAUGAUUUCUUGAAUGCAACAAGUAAAGAUAGAUUGAUCUUUGUGAAUAACAAUUCCUAUGAGUGUAUUAAGACAAGAACAUCAUGAAAAUCAUCUCAAGAGGAGGAAAGAGUCAUAAACAUCCUGAAACCUUGCAAAGAAACCAGAUGAUGAAGAAACUGAAUUAAUGGUAGAAAGGUUCACAAAAUUCUUGAUGACUAAAAGGAAAUCUAACAACAAUCCUGAGCAAGAUCAGAAGUUGUCUAAUGAUCAAGAUUUGCAGCAAACAAAUUCGAGCAAAUUGGUGAAAUCUGCCUGGAAGAAAGAUGUGAAGAAGAGAAGGAAAAAUAAGUCAUGUGGUAUCUAGACAGUAGAUGCUCCAAACAUAUGAUAGGAGAUCCAACAAGAUUCAUCAGCCUAUCCUAUAAGACAAGCGACCAUGUUACAUAUGGGGACAAUAACAAGGGUAAAAUUGUGGGUAUUGGUAAAAUUCAAACACCUUCCUCAUAUGUUAUUGAAAAUGUCUUGCUUGUUGAUGGCUUUAAACAUAAUCUUCUUAGCAUUAUCCAAUUGUGUGACAAAGGUUUAAAAGUUACAUUUGAGCCUGAUAUUUUUUUAAUUUGUCAUGCUACUUCGAAUAAACUUGUUGUGAUUGGCAAAAGAUGCAAUCACAUUUACAUGGUUGACUUUAUAAAAACAUCUUUAAAAUA